UGGUAUAGCCAUUUACAUAAAAAAAUUCGGAACAGAGAUGGUUCAGUAGGUGGUUCAAAGGAAUUGUUACAGGAUAUUGAACCGGGCAGAACUGGAAAGGACGCGUAUGUGUGGAUACCAGACGAAGUAAACGUGAUCUAUGUCAAAUCAUGUUUCAGAUUAAUGAACUCAGCAGCUAAUCAGAAUGAGAUAGAGGGUGGUUUGAAGAAAGCAAUUAUAAAUAUGUGGAAUAAGAAUAUACCAUCGAAAGUACACAAUUUCGGUUGGAGAUUGUUACUAACUCGCUUGCCCACGGGAGAAGAAUUGCAUGAAAAGAAAAACAGAUCAAACAAUUUAUCUUGCACAUGUAUUCAUGCUCAUUAUAAACAUUGCACAUAUAAAUCAAACAGCAUCUUAAUUUCUUAA